rnacentral:tRNA from 1 species
GCCAGGAUGAAGCUGGGUGGUCCCAGCUGCGGUCUUCAAAACCGUAGCGGCCGAGAGGCCGAGUGGUUCAAUUCCACCUUCCCGGCG